AAAUUGAAGAGUUUGAUCAUGGCUCAGAUUGAACGCUGGCGGCAGGCCUAACACAUGCAAGUCGAACGGUAACAGGAAGCAGCUUGCUGUUUCGCUGACGAGUGGCGGACGGGUGAGUAAUGUCUGGGAAACUGCCUGAUGGAGGGGGAUAACUACUGGAAACGGUAGCUAAUACCGCAUAACGUCGCAAGACCAAAGAGGGGGACCUUCGGGCCUCUUGCCAUCGGAUGUGCCCAGAUGGGAUUAGCUAGUAGGUGGGGUAACGGCUCACCUAGGCGACGAUCCCUAGCUGGUCUGAGAGGAUGACCAGCCACACUGGAACUGAGACACGGUCCAGACUCCUACGGGAGGCAGCAGUGGGGAAUAUUGCACAAUGGGCGCAAGCCUGAUGCAGCCAUGCCGCGUGUAUGAAGAAGGCCUUCGGGUUGUAAAGUACUUUCAGCGGGGAGGAAGGGAGUAAAGUUAAUACCUUUACUCAUUGACGUUACCCGCAGAAGAAGCACCGGCUAACUCCGUGCCAGCAGCCGCGGUAAUACGGAGGGUGCAAGCGUUAAUCGGAAUUACUGGGCGUAAAGCGCACGCAGGCGGUUUGUUAAGUCAGAUGUGAAAUCCCCGGGC
rnacentral:rRNA from 1 species